rnacentral:lncRNA from 1 species
UUUUUUUUGUUCCUUUAACCUGCAACCGAUACAAACAAAAGUACUUUAACUUUGAAAAAAACAUUUUUUUUUUUGUUCACCGUCUUCCUGCACUGGCUUUUUUUUUUUUUUUUGCCGAUGGUGGUUGUGGUGCUAUAGACAUCAGCAAUAUCCUCCUCCUUCAAAAGUAACGGUGCUAUACUAAGAAUACCCAUUUCUAAUUUGCUUCAAUUUGUGUCCCUUGUACACCCUUUUUCAAGAAGAGCCAUGGAAACAUGUCAUCAUCCUCAACUUUCAUCUUUUCUUUUAGGUUGCAAUUCCAAAAAUUGAUAAGAGGGGUUGUU